AUGGCUUGUUUAAAUUUUCGCUCUAUCUGGACAAAUUCAAGCCCUGUUGAGGCUUGAGGCCGCUCUCUGACAAUGAGACAAUGUCCGAAGGCUGUUUGCGCUGUCCCUCUUGGACAAGGGAGGCAAUAUACUUCUUUUCCGGAUAGAAAUCGGUCAAAAAAUGGUUGAAUGUUGGAUGAUCUUCUUUGUCCGGAAACUGAAUUUCUGGUACAGCAGACUAAGGAGGAAUCUGAGCGUGGACACAAAAUGUAGCAAAAGGAAUUUGCUACACGAAAACAGCGGUCGUGGCUCUGUAGCAUAACGCACAAGAAAAGGGUCCUUUCAGCAUCCAGCGUGAAUAUGCGCCCGUGGUUAUUUUGUGGCUCUUUGGACUUCUUUGCUGCGAUUAAUGACCUAAAUAUCGACUUGCUGGGCAGUAAAAUGCAGAAACCGCACAAGAAAUUGAACAUUUUUUGUUAUUAAAAGUCCCCAAGCUCGAAGUAAAAUAAGAAUUUUGAAGCCAGAAAAUAACUGCAGCCUAAAAAAUUGGGAGAAUUUGGGCUGGUAGUCAGUCUUUGAGCACCGCGCUGCCCAGUGGUACUUGGGAGGCCGUCCAGUGUCCGGCUCAGUGAGUCCUGCCACCUUAAGAGCCAGUGUUGGGACUCUAUUUGGCCUGUUACUGACCUUAGAGGCGCCAUGACCAGGCGCCAGUAUCGGCAAGUCAAGAGCACCAUAUAAUUUACAGAAUUGGCAUUUAUUUUGGAAGCGUAAGACGAGCACUGUUUAACUUUAACGUGGUUUUCGCGCCCUCAGCGCACGAUUUGUGUGAACCAACCACUGGCUGACGCGUACAACUGGCAGCCAAAUGCACCCUCUCUCACGAGUUAUUGAGAUGGUUUUCCGACCUCUGCAGAGCAACGACUACCGUACGCGCCAGCCAGCCACAGUAAUAAGUAAGCAUUUUUCCCCUUUUUAUCACUGUCCGAGGACCGAGAAGGGCGCGCACUGCACUAGCACGAAUGCUGAAACCCGGGUGCCAAUAACACCACGAACGGAUAACAUGGGCGCACCAGGCCGCACAGGUACCCAGCCCACUCAAGGGCCACAUUUUUUUCAAAGUCUCGUCUGCGUUUUAAUAAUUAACGUAACGGUAAAUAUGGCCAAUAUCGCGAUUGAAAGUUUUUAUAAUUGUUAGAGUCACUUACGUUCCAAUAAAACCACGUCAUG